UUGUUUCUUAUAAAAAGGACC
rnacentral:miRNA from 1 species